UACGGAGGAUGCAAGCGUUAUCCGGAAUGAUUGGGCGUAAAGCGUCCGUAGGUGGCGAUGUAAGUCUGCUGUUAAAGAGUGAGGCUCAACCUCAUAAGAGCAGUGGAAACUACAUAGCUAGAGUACGUUCGGGGCAGAGGGAAUUCCUGGUGUAGCGGUGAAAUGCGUAGAGAUCAGGAAGAACACCAGUGGCGAAGGCGCUCUGCUAGGCCGUAACUGACACUGAGGGACGAAAGCUAGGGGAGCGAAUGGG
rnacentral:rRNA from 1 species